GAUGAACGCUGGCGGCGUGCCUAAUACAUGCAAGUCGAGCGAACGGACGAGAAGCUUGCUUCUCUGAUGUUAGCGGCGGACGGGUGAGUAACACGUGGAUAACCUACCUAUAAGACUGGGAUAACUUCGGGAAACCGGAGCUAAUACCGGAUAAUAUUUUGAACCGCAUGGUUCAAAAGUGAAAGACGGUCUUGCUGUCACUUAUAGAUGGAUCCGCGCUGCAUUAGCUAGUUGGUAAGGUAACGGCUUACCAAGGCAACGAUGCAUAGCCGACCUGAGAGGGUGAUCGGCCACACUGGAACUGAGACACGGUCCAGACUCCUACGGGAGGCAGCAGUAGGGAAUCUUCCGCAAUGGGCGAAAGCCUGACGGAGCAACGCCGCGUGAGUGAUGAAGGUCUUCGGAUCGUAAAACUCUGUUAUUAGGGAAGAACAUAUGUGUAAGUAACUGUGCACAUCUUGACGGUACCUAAUCAGAAAGCCACGGCUAACUACGUGCCAGCAGCCGCGGUAAUACGUAGGUGGCAAGCGUUAUCCGGAAUUAUUGGGCGUAAAGCGCGCGUAGCGGUUUUUUAGUCUGAUGUGAAAGCCCACGGCUCAACCGUGGAGGGUCAUUGGAAACUGGAAAACUUGAGUGCAGAAGAGGAAAGUGGAAUUCCAUGUGUAGCGGUGAAAUGCGCAGAGAUAUGGAGGAACACCAGUGGCGAAGGCGACUUUCUGGUCUGUAACUGACGCUGAUGUGCGAAAGCGUGGGGAUCAAACAGGAUUAGAUACCCUGGUAGUCCACGCCGUAAACGAUGAGUGCUAAGUGUUAGGGGGUUUCCGCCCCUUAGUGCUGCAGCUAACGCAUUAAGCACUCCGCCUGGGGAGUACGACCGCAAGGUUGAAACUCAAAGGAAUUGACGGGGACCCGCACAAGCGGUGGAGCAUGUGGUUUAAUUCGAAGCAACGCGAAGAACCUUACCAAAUCUUGACAUCCUUUGACAACUCUAGAGAUAGAGCUUUCCCCUUCGGGGGACAAAGUGACAGGUGGUGCAUGGUUGUCGUCAGCUCGUGUCGUGAGAUGUUGGGUUAAGUCCCGCAACGAGCGCAACCCUUAAGCUUAGUUGCCAUCAUUAAGUUGGGCACUCUAAGUUGACUGCCGGUGACAAACCGGAGGAAGGUGGGGAUGACGUCAAAUCAUCAUGCCCCUUAUGAUUUGGGCUACACACGUGCUACAAUGGACAAUACAAAGGGCAGCGAAACCGCGAGGUCAAGCAAAUCCCAUAAAGUUGUUCUCAGUUCGGAUUGUAGUCUGCAACUCGACUACAUGAAGCUGGAAUCGCUAGUAAUCGUAGAUCAGCAUGCUACGGUGAAUACGUUCCCGGGUCU
rnacentral:rRNA from 1 species